rnacentral:rRNA from 1 species
GACAGAGGGGGCAAGCGUUGCUCGGAAUGACUGGGCGUAAAGGGCGCGUAGGCGGUUUGUUUAGUUAGGCGUGAAAUUCCUGGGCUCAACCUGGGGGCUGCGCUUAAUACAGGCAGACUAGAGUGUGAAAGAGGGUCGUGGAAUUUCCAGUGUAGAGGUGAAAUUCGUAGAUAUUGGAAAGAACACCGGUGGCGAAGGCGGCGACCUGGUUCAUUACUGACGCUGAGGCGCGAAAGCCAGGGGAGCAAACGGG